rnacentral:tRNA from 3 species
GCUCGUCAGGCUCAUAACCUGAAGGCCGCAGGUUCAAAUCCUGCCCCCGCAA